rnacentral:lncRNA from 1 species
GUGUAAGCAAAUUUUUUCUUUAUUAUUAUUAGUUUUUUAUUGUUAAAUAAUUUUUCAGAUUAAAAUUUUUAGUAACAUUUUUGCCAUAAAUACAAGGUGGUUUAAAAAAAUUUCCAAACUUGCUAUAUAAAAAGUGACAGACUAAUCUGAGAUUUUAGGCACUAUUAUCUCUCUCAAAAUACAUUCCCUGGGAAUUGAUGCAAUGCUCUCAGUGAUUUUAUCAUUGUUGAAAUGCCUUCUGAAACCUGCUUUGGACUGCAGCAUUUUCAUGAUGAAUCAUCCAGUUCACAAUAGUCCACAACUGCUUAAGUCUCACAUGGUCUUGAAACAAUAUUUGAAAUGCUUCACCAACAAUUCUCAUGAAUUAAUACACAAACUUUCUCAACAUUUUCAAGAGUUAUACUUAUCAAAAAUUAUCCUGAUCCUUCAUUGUUUUCAUGUGUUUCCUGGAUGCACUUAAAAUGCCUAUACCACUCAUAGAUUUAUAUUUUGCAUAAUAUAUAGUUAUGAAUUACCU